rnacentral:rRNA from 1 species
CACGUAGGAGGCAAACGUUAUCCGGAUUUACUGGGCGUAAAGCGCGUGUAGGUGGUUCUGUAAGUAGGGCGUGAAAGCUCCCGGCUCAACUGGGAGAGGCCGUUCUAAACUGCAGAGCUAGAGGAUGGUAGAGGGAGGUGGAAUUCCAGGUGUAGCGGUGGAAUGCGCAGAUAUCUGGAGGAACACCAGUGGCGAAGGCGGCCUCCUGGACCAUUCCUGACACUCAGACGCGAAAGCUAGGGUAGCAAACGGGAUUAGAUACCCCGUACGUCCU